AAACAGCAUAUUAAUAACCUGUGGAUUAGAAAUUAUAAUUUAACAAAACAAAACAAAAUUUUUAUUUUUCAGAUUUUAAAGAGAAUUUAGAAAUUGAGCAAAGUUUUACUAAAUUAUAGUGAUCUUAGGAGCAAAGUUUACUUCGUUAUUGUUAUUUGUUAAUCAAAAAUAUAAAAGUAAACAAAAAAGAAAACUACCUCUAUCUAAUUUUGUCGAUGUCCAUUUCUUAAGAAGUUUCUCAUUAAAACAACGCUUAACUCAGGCAAGGCCUGCCUUGCCUAAGGUGGUUAGCGUAACUACAAGUGGUUAACUUACUGUUAGCCAACUGAAGAACAAUCAACAAUGCCCGAUUAAUAAGUGAUCGCGCUGCUUGUCUACUACAUGUCCCUGCACUAGUUAUAGCAGUAAUUUCUUUGUUGGGAAGUAUUUAGCACAUCCGGGCUGCGCAAAAGGAGAGGUUGCUACACGUCAUCACACCGGAAUGCUAAAUCGCUUGGCCGUAUGUCUCAAUUGGACCAGCCGGGGAUCAAACACAGGACCUUCGGAACAUUAAUUAUCAUUAACAUCUGAUAGUGGUAUAUUAACACCAUAACUACCAAUCCACAUUGGAGCAGGUUUUUUUUUUAUUCUUUACAAGUUAGCCCUUGACUACAAUCUCACCUGAUGGUAAGUGAUGAUGUAAUCUAAGAUGGUAACGGGCUAACUUGUUAGGAGUAGUAAGACAAUCCACACCCCUUUUGGUUUCUACAUGGCAUCGUACCGGAAUGCUAAAUCGCUUAGUGGUAGGUCUUUGCCAGUAAGGUGGUAACUGGCCGAAGCCUCCCACCAGCCAGACCUAGACCAAUUGAGAAAACCUCAAUCGGCCCAGCCAGGGAUCAAACCCAGGACACCACUGCUAAUGUUUUCCUCUCAAAGAUUCUAUCUAACUUUUAGUAUGAAAUAUUAAUUUUUUUUUUUAAUUUCAGACUAAAUUGAUUAUUAUGAACAGACCAUUAUGAUGAACCACUGAUAUUGACUCAGAGACAUGAAGAUGAGUGCUUUGACAACAAGACUGACUAGCUGAGCCAGCUUGUUUGGGCUUGAUUAAUUUGUAUUGAUGAGUACUUUCCACCUAUAUGGGUUGUGACUGUAUUAAGGGUCUGGUGAUGAAGACGAAGGACAGUGAAGAGAACUCCUCGACGGUUCACAGUAGCUACCUUGUGUUUGGACUUGAUAAAUUUGUAUUGAUGAGAACUUACCACCUAGGUGGAUUGUGACUGUAUUAAGGGUCUGAUGAUGAAGACGAGGGACAGUGAAGAGAACUCCUCGACGGUUCACAGUAGCUACCUUGUGUUUGGACUUGAUAAAUUUGUAUUGAUGAGAACUUACCACCUAGGUGGAUUGUGACUGUAUUAAGGGUCUGAUGAUGAAGACGAGGGACAGUGAAGAGAACUCCUCGACGGUUCACAGUAGCUACCUUGUGUUUGGUCUUGAUAAAUUUGUAUUGAUGAGAACUUUCCACCUAGAUGGGUUGUGACUGUAUUAAGGGUCUGAUGAUGAAGACGAGGGACAGUGAAGAGAACUCCUCGACGGUUCACAGUAGCUACCUUGUGUUUGGACUUGAUAAAUUUGUAUUGAUGAGAACUUUCCACCUAGAUGGAUUGCGAAUGUAUUAAGGGUCUGGUGAUGAAGACGAAGCACAGUGAAGAGAACUCCUCGACGGCUCUCAGUAGCUACCUUGUGUUUGGACUUGAUAAUUUUGUAUUUAUAAGAACUUUCCACUUAGAUAGGUUGUGACUGCACACACGCAGUGGGUAUGCUAACACUAAAAAUGAAAAAAUAAAAAUUUUAAUAAAAAAAAUUCAACCGACUUCCAACUCAAAAAAUAACUUUAACUAAAAAGCAAAAAAUAACAUCCUACCUAUGUGCUACCUACUGAUCAGUUUGAAGGCGGUGCCAAGCCAGUGUCGUGUUUUAAUUAAAGCUGUUUCUGGAAUAAUCACAGAAAUUUAGUUUAAACGUAUUUAAUUAAAACAUCACUGGCUUGGCACCGCCUUCAAACUGAUCAGUAGGUAGCACAUAGGUAGGAUGUUAUUUUUUGCUUUUUAGUUAAAGUUAUUUUUUGAGUUGGAAGUCGGUUGAAUUUUUUUUAUUAAAAUUUUUUAUAAACUUCCAACCCCUAUUUCACCCUCAGAGGUGUCAUUUUCAUAAUUCUUAGAAUACUAGUAGUCAAGAUACUGUAUUAAAAGAUACAGUUUGUGAGAUUGUAGGGGUAAACACUGGACCUACUGAACCAAUGUUGAAGAUUAUUUUACCAAUAAAAAUCCACAUUUGAGUAUUAUAGGCCAUGUAUUCCUUCGCACGGGAACAGGAAUUAUGUGGGUGAAACUGCAGGGGGGUGAACAUACACAGGUAUUAUAAAUGUAUUUUUUACAACUACACUUUUUUGAAUAAUUUAUUUAAUUAUUGUAAUGGUAAAAAAAAAUAUUAAUAGUAAAAUGUUAAACUGAAA